AAGAUCGCAAACAGAGCAAAAAUUGGCCCGUUGUACACACCCCGGACGGCCCACUACCACGACCUUCUCCUCUCCCUCGACGACGCCUCACCAUCCCCCAAUCCCCAUCGACCAAACCACCGCGCCGCGCCGCCCUGCCCGCCGGCAUCUCGUAGCCCCUCCUCGCCGGCCUCGCGCCGCCGCCCACCGGCUAACCCCCACCGCCGCCCAUCGGCGAUGCGUGCCGUGCCGCCGCCCCAAACCUCCACCGCCCACAGGCCUUGAGUGCCGCCGCGAGCCGUGGAUCCGGGGCGCCGACGCCUGGCUCUGGAUCCCGCGAACCGCCGCUAGUCCUCGACUGAAGACGAGCAAGCCUGCGCCCCCUCACUCACGUAGCCUCCUCCCGAUGGGGAUCCACCGUCGCAGCGCUCAUGGAUGUUCACCACAUUAGCGCCCAAAUCCCAGCCAUCCAGGGGUCUCCGACACAACUCCACCCCUCUCCGCCCCUGCAUCACCUCCUCCGCCCGCGUUGAAGACAUCGUCGGCCCUGUGGAACAAACACCGGCGCCGCCCUCCAAGAACCCGAGCCGCCGCCUGCCACCAAGAUCCUAUGCCGCCCCUAGUGGCUCCUCCCAAACCCAACACCCUGCACCCCCAUCUCCUCCACGUCCCGGUCGUCGCUCGCACGCACGAGAGGAUGGUGCUGGCCCGGCUCCAUGCUUUGGACCUGGAGAGGAGGUGGCUGGCUCACACCUAGGACGGCUUCGCAUCAGUCCAACUACACUGCUAGUCCCUGUCCAGAGAUCCUGAAGAAAAUACAUGUGGGUUUGGCAUGUCUCACAUCCUACAGCAACGAGCCCCUGCAAGCACCGAGCCACAGGUGUUCUGUCCACAAAUCUGCGAGGGAUGUAAAAGCGGCUGUGGCAUAUUGUCAGCUGCCCAUCAAAUAUAAGCCUAUUAUGUUCUCCUUCAGUAGUAGUUCAACAAAAAACUGCAACAAUUCUACAUUGGAAACUAUGAUAUUUCAGGUCUGCUACUAUGUACAUGCUUGUUGGUAUGACUAUGAGUACAUACAUUUUGUCUUGGUUCUUUCCCUCGUGGGCUUUCUCUGC